rnacentral:rRNA from 1 species
UACGUAGGUGACAAGCGUUGUCCGGAUUUACUGGGCGUAAAGAGCGCGCAGGCGGUCGUUCAAGUCGAGUGUGAAAGCCCCCGGCUCAACUGGGGAGGGUCACGCGAUACUGACCGACUCGAAGGCAGGAGAGGGUAGUGGAAUUCCCGGUGUAGUGGUGAAAUGCGUAGAUAUCGGGAGGAACACCAGUGGCGAAGGCGACUACCUGGCCUGUUCUUGACGCUGAGGCGCGAAAGCUAGGGGAGCAAACGGG